rnacentral:rRNA from 1 species
UACGUAGGGUGCAAGCGUUGUCCGGAAUUAUUGGGCGUAAAGAGCUCGUAGGCGGGUUUGUCGCGUCUGCUGUGAAAACCCGAGGCUCAACCCUCCAGCUUGCAGUGGGUACGGGCAAACUAGAGUGCGGUAGGGAGACUGGAAUUCCUGGUGUAGCGGUGGAAUGCGCAGAUAUCAGGAGGAACACCGGUGGCGAAGGCGGUCUCGUGGGCUGUAACUGACGCUGAGGAGCGAAAGCGUGGGUAGCGAACAGG